AGCGUACACGGUGGAUGCCCUGGCAGUCAGAGGCGAUGAAGGACGUGCUAAUCUGCGAUAAGCGUCGGUGAGGUGAUAUGAACCGUUAUAACCGGCGAUUUCCGAAUGGGGAAACCCAGUGUGUUUCGACACACUAUCAUUAACUGAAUCCAUAGGUUAAUGAGGCGAACCGGGGGAACUGAAACAUCUAAGUACCCCGAGGAAAAGAAAUCAACCGAGAUUCCCCCAGUAGCGGCGAGCGAACGGGGAGGAGCCCAGAGCCUGAAUCAGUGUGUGUGUUAGUGGAAGCGUCUGGAAAGGCGCGCGAUACAGGGUGACAGCCCCGUACACAAAAAUACACAUAUUGUGAGCUCGAUGAGUAGGGCGGGACACGUGGUAUCCUGUCUGAAUAUGGGGGGACCAUCCUCCAAGGCUAAAUACUCCUGACUGACCGAUAGUGAACCAGUACCGUGAGGGAAAGGCGAAAAGAACCCCGGCGAGGGGAGUGAAAAAGAACCUGAAACCGUGUACGUACAAGCAGUGGGAGCCUCUUUAUGGGGUGACUGCGUACCUUUUGUAUAAUGGGUCAGCGACUUAUAUUCUGUAGCAAGGUUAACCGAAUAGGGGAGCCGAAGGGAAACCGAGUCUUAACUGGGCGUUAAGUUGCAGGGUAUAGACCCGAAACCCGGUGAUCUAGCCAUGGGCAGGUUGAAGGUUGGGUAACACUAACUGGAGGACCGAACCGACUAAUGUUGAAAAAUUAGCGGAUGACUUGUGGCUGGGGGUGAAAGGCCAAUCAAACCGGGAGAUAGCUGGUUCUCCCCGAAAGCUAUUUAGGUAGCGCCUCGUGAAUUCAUCUCCGGGGGUAGAGCACUGUUUCGGCAAGGGGGUCAUCCCGACUUACCAACCCGAUGCAAACUGCGAAUACCGGAGAAUGUUAUCACGGGAGACACACGGCGGGUGCUAACGUCCGUCGUGAAGAGGGAAACAACCCAGACCGCCAGCUAAGGUCCCAAAGUCAUGGUUAAGUGGGAAACGAUGUGGGAAGGCCCAGACAGCCAGGAUGUUGGCUUAGAAGCAGCCAUCAUUUAAAGAAAGCGUAAUAGCUCACUGGUCGAGUCGGCCUGCGCGGAAGAUGUAACGGGGCUAAACCAUGCACCGAAGCUGCGGCAGCGACACUAUGUGUUGUUGGGUAGGGGAGCGUUCUGUAAGCCUGUGAAGGUGGCCUGUGAGGGUUGCUGGAGGUAUCAGAAGUGCGAAUGCUGACAUAAGUAACGAUAAAGCGGGUGAAAAGCCCGCUCGCCGGAAGACCAAGGGUUCCUGUCCAACGUUAAUCGGGGCAGGGUGAGUCGACCCCUAAGGCGAGGCCGAAAGGCGUAGUCGAUGGGAAACAGGUUAAUAUUCCUGUACUUGGUGUUACUGCGAAGGGGGGACGGAGAAGGCUAUGUUGGCCGGGCGACGGUUGUCCCGGUUUAAGCGUGUAGGCUGGUUUUCCAGGCAAAUCCGGAAAACCAAGGCUGAGGCGUGAUGACGAGGCACUACGGUGCUGAAGCGACAAAUGCCCUGCUUCCAGGAAAAGCCUCUAAGCAUCAGGUAACAUCAAAUCGUACCCCAAACCGACACAGGUGGUCAGGUAGAGAAUACCAAGGCGCUUGAGAGAACUCGGGUGAAGGAACUAGGCAAAAUGGUGCCGUAACUUCGGGAGAAGGCACGCUGAUAUGUAGGUGAAGCGACUUGCUCGUGGAGCUGAAAUCAGUCGAAGAUACCAGCUGGCUGCAACUGUUUAUUAAAAACACAGCACUGUGCAAACACGAAAGUGGACGUAUACGGUGUGACGCCUGCCCGGUGCCGGAAGGUUAAUUGAUGGGGUUAGCGGUAACGCGAAGCUCUUGAUCGAAGCCCCGGUAAACGGCGGCCGUAACUAUAACGGUCCUAAGGUAGCGAAAUUCCUUGUCGGGUAAGUUCCGACCUGCACGAAUGGCGUAAUGAUGGCCAGGCUGUCUCCACCCGAGACUCAGUGAAAUUGAACUCGCUGUGAAGAUGCAGUGUACCCGCGGCAAGACGGAAAGACCCCGUGAACCUUUACUAUAGCUUGACACUGAACAUUGAGCCUUGAUGUGUAGGAUAGGUGGGAGGCUUUGAAGUGUGGACGCCAGUCUGCAUGGAGCCGACCUUGAAAUACCACCCUUUAAUGUUUGAUGUUCUAACGUUGGCCCGUAAUCCGGGUUGCGGACAGUGUCUGGUGGGUAGUUUGACUGGGGCGGUCUCCUCCUAAAGAGUAACGGAGGAGCACGAAGGUUGGCUAAUCCUGGUCGGACAUCAGGAGGUUAGUGCAAUGGCAUAAGCCAGCUUGACUGCGAGCGUGACGGCGCGAGCAGGUGCGAAAGCAGGUCAUAGUGAUCCGGUGGUUCUGAAUGGAAGGGCCAUCGCUCAACGGAUAAAAGGUACUCCGGGGAUAACAGGCUGAUACCGCCCAAGAGUUCAUAUCGACGGCGGUGUUUGGCACCUCGAUGUCGGCUCAUCACAUCCUGGGGCUGAAGUAGGUCCCAAGGGUAUGGCUGUUCGCCAUUUAAAGUGGUACGCGAGCUGGGUUUAGAACGUCGUGAGACAGUUCGGUCCCUAUCUGCCGUGGGCGCUGGAGAACUGAGGGGGGCUGCUCCUAGUACGAGAGGACCGGAGUGGACGCAUCACUGGUGUUCGGGUUGUCAUGCCAAUGGCACUGCCCGGUAGCUAAAUGCGGAAGAGAUAAGUGCUGAAAGCAUCUAAGCACGAAACUUGCCCCGAGAUGAGUUCU
rnacentral:rRNA from 1 species